ensembl:lncRNA
CCUGGUCGCUGGCUUCAUUUUCUCUUUGUGAGCAGCAGCUGGAGACGUCCACACUUCCGUCUGCAGAACCGGCUGGAGCUGAGGCGAAGGGGGCCUUCCCUGUGGCCUGGUGGUUUCCUCUCCGAGGCAAGCAGAGCAGCAUUCACAGGGGGACGGGGCAGAGGGGACGCGCUGCGAGCUCGGGCCUGGGGCAGGGCGUGACCCCGACCGUCCCUGUCUGUGGGGCAGGGCUGCAGGAUGGGUUACCGGGCCGCAGAGCUGGGCUUCUCAGGAAGUAAGCGCGUUAGCCAAACCCGCAGUGCCCUGCGCCUGAACGGCACCCCUUUCCCCCGCUGCUUGCUCAAAGCUCAAAGCGAACCAGCACCUUCCUCACCUUGUGGUCAAGAACACAGGACAGGACAUGCUAGACUGCGGCCCUCCACGGACAGGAGCUUCCUGCCGGAUCCCGAAACGUGGCCUUUAACCUAGCUUGCAGUCGGUGCUGUGCCCUGUGCCUGCCCAGGGACGCGAUCGGUCGCCCCGCCCCUUCAGAGUCGCUCCUCCUCCCCCGGCUUAUUCCCAGGGCCUGACCUUGACCUGGCCUCCCGCCCCUUGCCCUCGAGCGCGUCCCGGAGCGGCCCUCAGGCCCCGGGAUCGUUCGGGCCGCCGGCCUGGUCCACAGCUCUUCUCACGGAGCCUUACUGCGGGCGGCGCCGCGAAGGCCCUGCCGCGAGCCGGCGAAGGUCCAGCCUGGCCGCUGCGCUCCUCACUUAAGGCCAUGAGCUCUCCCUUCCUCCUCAGCCCCCUGCUGCCGCGAUGCUCCCCUUGCUGCGGCCCAUGGUCUCGUAGUCUCCAAAGUCGUAAAUUCAGGCAUCCGGCUCUUGGAAGGUCAUCUCGUAUUUACGGCUGCUGCUUUCUGGGCUCCCCAGUUCAGUGAUUUUCUGCCUUCAGCACUCCCCUUGGUUAUCAUUAUCAGAGAAGCUUUCACAGAACAGGAAAAAUGCAUGAAGCUGAGACACCAACCACCUACUGAACUGAGGACUCCACAGUCAGUACCCUGAGAGCCCAGGAAGACCUACUAGUCUGUGGAGCUGCUAAUCGUUUGAUCUGCAGAUGGACCUGGUCAAAUACUGAAGCUGUGUUUUGUCCCUAGUCUUGAAAUUGACCUGAGAGAUGAUGGAAUCCCUUGCACAGACUUGAGGUUUCUGCCCUCAUGACUAACAAGGCUGGAACUGCUUCUCCCAGAACAACUUCACCACUUUGCCAGAUGAGACCUGCUGCUCGAGUGAGCCUGGGAGGGUGCCAGGUGUACACGGCAGCCCGGGCUCCGUCCAACCUCAUCCUGGGCGUAUUUAUGCUGUACAUCGAAUGGGGAAUGCAGCCCACCUUUGCUGUUCCAGCCUCCAAAAACAGGUCCAGAAGCUUCCUGCCUGGGGUCUAGAGGGGCUUUAAAUGCCUAUGUCAGGGAAUGUCUUAAAAACACCCCUGGAAAACGCUGCCUCUUCUCCACCUCUGAGAUUCCCUAAUUAUAUAAUUGUUCACCUUAUAAGCCAGAAAAAUAGAGAACGCAUGGUGGGCUCAUGGCAGAGUCGUGCAGAACUCAGCAGUGGCGCCAGCCUCACGUUCUGCCCUGCUGUCCUCCCGGGGACGGGCGAGCUGCAGCGGAGGUGGCCAUCUGGUCCCUGUGUGUGACAGACAAGGAGGAGCACCGCAAAGAUUGGCUGCUUUCUGAGCCACAGAGGGGAGCGCUUGGAGUCUCCGCUGCUGACUGGAGCCUUAAGAACGGGGCUUAGAUCGAAGUGAAGGGGCUGACGGUUUCAGUACAUGACUGACUUGUCAAGCCUGAGACUGCUCCCUGCUUUCCUUGGGCCAGGCACCAGACUUAGGGAACAAACAGCCAGGUUUAUUACAAAUCAUCACUUCAAAUCAGGGACAUUGAAGGUGAAAUUCCUGCUUCCUUACUGUGAUAGUCUCUCCAACAUACUCUAGCACCUCCCAGAAGUGCCGCACCGGAAACCAGGCCUGUAACCAUAUGUGGCCCCAGGGACACUUAGGAUCCAAACUACAGCAUCGAUGCCUGCACCAAAGACAGAUUAACAAGAGAAAACCAAGCACAUUUGUCAAUGCUUUGAGAGAACAUCGGGCAAGAGGAGUCACUCAAAGUGGUGGCCUAGGAGCCUGCCGUAAAUGGUUUCUCAGUAAAGUUCCUUUUAGAGAAGUGACAGAGGAUAGAAAAUUGUCCUCGGUUUCAGAGGUGGGAAACUGGGGAGGUAAAUUUGUGGGAAAACAUUCUGCUCGCAGAGCCUUCCACAGCCUCAGAGACAUGAGAAGUAGGCACCGUAGAGAAUUUUUGUCUGUUCUUUAGGUAGAAAAGGAAGAGGGCAGGAGGUAGGAAGACCUGUGUGCCUUUCUGAAUCUUUAUCCUGCUUUUUGGCAGAGAGAAGUCAGAGUUUCCUUGCAUUUUGAUUGUUGUCAGCUCAAAAAUCCUUUAUAUUUUGGAGAUAAGGAGCUUGGCUUCCCUCACGAACUUAUAAAACCUUAGUAUUGUUCAACUCAAACCAUUCCUAACUAGAUCAUACUUUCUAACAGCUACUUCAGACUUGGACCUGGUAGCAGUAGACAAGAAAGUACAUUCUGUGCAAACCUGGGCCUACGAACACAUGAAUUAUUUCCACAUAGCAUACUGG